UCUCCGUAGGUGAACCUGCGGAGGGAUCAUUACAGAGUUCAUGACCUACCGGGUAGCUCUUCCACCCAAUGUUAUCAUUAUUUUGUUGCUUUCGCGGGCCGUUAUGCCCCUGCCCGGGAACCAGCCCCGGCCGGUAGGCACCCGCCACAGGACCCAAAACCCUGCAUUCUAGUGUCGACUCAGUACAAUAUAAUAAUUAAAACUAUCAACAACCUCUUUCUUGUUUCUGGCAUCGAUGAAGAAGGAAACAGAACGGAAACGCACACGUACGCAAUCCAC
rnacentral:misc_RNA from 1 species